UGGUGGAUGCAGACUAAGUGGAAGAGUGUCUGCAGUUAGAGCUGAUUGAAAUGCAAUGUGAUGAUUCUCUGAAGAGUCAACAUCAGCUUCUCUCCCUCCCUGAAUUCUAUCAGAGUCAGUGAAAAUGGUGUGAAGGACAGUUAACUCACUUGACCUUAAAACCCCCUCGAUACAACUUUAUCCCCCCACCCCCCUUGAACCCAUGCGAAGACUAACCACAGUGACCUUAUGCCCAAUAGAUCCAAAUGGUAAUGAAUGUGUAUGGAAAGAAGCUGGAGAGUAAACUGCAGAGGAACAAUAUCAGAGAUGUGUGAUCAGGCAUGAAGAUAAGCUUCAAGCAAAAGGAGGAUCGGAUAGAUGAAGUUUGGACAGAGCAAAUGAGCUGAACACAUUCUUCAACAGGUUCAGCUCAGGAACAAGCUCAUCAUCCUCCUCUCCUGCCCCCAGCCAAAUAGAUAUCCCACCCUCCUUUGACCCACAGCUUUCCUGUCAAACCUCAUAUGUUUUAUCUUUGACCCCAGUCAUGGACUCUUCUGCUUCCACAUGUUUGUCUUCAACCAAAUCUGCCGUUCCCUUUUCCUCCCCCUCCCACUUUUCUGUAUCUACAACCAGGGCCGGAGUGGGACUCAUUUUCAGCCCUGGAGUUUGAUGCCUCCGACCGGCCCAAGUUGUUUUUAUAACCUUUAAAUCUGUAAAGCCUUGUAAUUCAGUGUAUUUUARAAAAAUAUUUCCAAUUCAGUGCAAUUGGUGAUGCUUCGUAAUGUA